GUUAAGCGACUAAGCGUACACGGUGGAUGCCCUGGCAGUCAGAGGCGAUGAAGGACGUGCUAAUCUGCGAUAAGCGUCGGUAAGGUGAUAUGAACCGUUAUAACCGGCGAUUUCCGAAUGGGGAAACCCAGUGUGUUUCGACACACUAUCAUUAACUGAAUCCAUAGGUUAAUGAGGCGAACCGGGGGAACUGAAACAUCUAAGUACCCCGAGGAAAAGAAAUCAACCGAGAUUCCCCCAGUAGCGGCGAGCGAACGGGGAGGAGCCCAGAGUCUGAAUCAGUGUGUGUGUUAGUGGAAGCGUCUGGAAAGGCGCGCGAUACAGGGUGACAGCCCCGUACACAAAAAUGCACAUACUGUGAGCUCGAUGAGUAGGGCGGGACACGUGGUAUCCUGUCUGAAUAUGGGGGGACCAUCCUCCAAGGCUAAAUACUCCUGACUGACCGAUAGUGAACCAGUACCGUGAGGGAAAGGCGAAAAGAACCCCGGCGAGGGGAGUGAAAAAGAACCUGAAACCGUGUACGUACAAGCAGUGGGAGCCUCUUUUAUGGGGUGACUGCGUACCUUUUGUAUAAUGGGUCAGCGACUUAUAUUCUGUAGCAAGGUUAACCGAAUAGGGGAGCCGAAGGGAAACCGAGUCUUAACUGGGCGUUAAGUUGCAGGGUAUAGACCCGAAACCCGGUGAUCUAGCCAUGGGCAGGUUGAAGGUUGGGUAACACUAACUGGAGGACCGAACCGACUAAUGUUGAAAAAUUAGCGGAUGACUUGUGGCUGGGGGUGAAAGGCCAAUCAAACCGGGAGAUAGCUGGUUCUCCCCGAAAGCUAUUUAGGUAGCGCCUCGUGAAUUCAUCUCCGGGGGUAGAGCACUGUUUCGGCAAGGGGGUCAUCCCGACUUACCAACCCGAUGCAAACUGCGAAUACCGGAGAAUGUUAUCACGGGAGACACACGGCGGGUGCUAACGUCCGUCGUGAAGAGGGAAACAACCCAGACCGCCAGCUAAGGUCCCAAAGUCAUGGUUAAGUGGGAAACGAUGUGGGAAGGCCCAGACAGCCAGGAUGUUGGCUUAGAAGCAGCCAUCAUUUAAAGAAAGCGUAAUAGCUCACUGGUCGAGUCGGCCUGCGCGGAAGAUGUAACGGGGCUAAACCAUGCACCGAAGCUGCGGCAGCGACGCUUAUGCGUUGUUGGGUAGGGGAGCGUUCUGUAAGCCUGCGAAGGUGUGCUGUGAGGCAUGCUGGAGGUAUCAGAAGUGCGAAUGCUGACAUAAGUAACGAUAAAGCGGGUGAAAAGCCCGCUCGCCGGAAGACCAAGGGUUCCUGUCCAACGUUAAUCGGGGCAGGGUG
rnacentral:rRNA from 1 species